rnacentral:RNase_P_RNA from 1 species
UGAGUUAGUCGGGUGACCGCGGCUGGUGCAAACCAGUCGAGGAAAGUCGGGACUCCACAGGACAGAGUGCUGGCGCGAGCCAGGUGGGGGCGACCUUACGGACAGUGCAACAGAGAGAAACCGCCGAUGGCUGGGAAACCAGAUCAGGUAAGGGUGAAACGGUGCGGUAAGAGCGCACCAGCAUGCCAGGUGACUGACAUGGCUCGGCAAACCCCAUUCGGAGCAAGGUCAAGCAGAGGAGACGGGCGGUCCGUCCAUCCAGGCAACUGGAAACUCCUCGGGUAGACCGCAUAGAUGGAUGGUUACCGGAUCGGGGCAACCUGAUUCACAGAAUCCCGCUUACAGACUGACUCACCGU